GGUCAGUGAUGAUAGGUAAAAGGUCUGACUGCACAGGGCAUUACCCCACGUUCUCACUCCCAGGAAACCCUUCAAUUUCCAUCCUGCUGCAGAUAUGCUGCGAUGUUACAGGGGUUCCUGAUAGUAAUUGAUGCUACUGCUGCUUUAAUCAGUUUGAGAGAUUUGGAACAUGUCUGCAAUGUGCAUCUGCCAUAAUUACCCCCACAGGAAUGUUUAGAACUGUGGGGUUUGUUUCUGUUGCCUGACUGCAAACUGAAAACUGAGACC